GUAAAAGUUUCAUUUUUCUUCAAAGCACUUUGAUUUUUUUCAGGGAACGACAUAGAAAUUUAUAUAAUACUGAGGAAAACGUAGCGUGAAGAAAAUGAGUUCUGGUGAUGCACAUAUUGAAACUUCACACUGUCCAGCAACUGGGAAUAUGGAAGGAAAAAUCAGGUUAGAAUUCUGAGUAAGCUUGAUCCCCAAUGGAAGAGAUAGUAUAUAUCUUCAAGAAAGUAGUAAAUUGUUUUUAGUAGUUGUAUGGGAACUGCUGAAUCAAGGCCUGAACCUCUGAUUGAUCACCCGAGGCAAGCAAUGAGUCAGCUAUGGGAGCACAGGUGAAGGCAAUUCACCUGUGCUGCUAUAAGGGGUGGUGCCUGGCUGCGCCUCUCCUAGACACAUUUAAGAGCUGAUUGCCAGUAGGAAAGGAUUUCUUCUGGAGUUCUCUGGAGUUUUGCAGUGAGCCCAGGGCGAGGGAAAUUUCUUGUAGUUUCGUACAGCGUUGAUAUAUCGUAGAACAACUUGCAUCAGUGAAACCUGUUAACAAGUUACAGACUCUGGUUUAGCUCCUCCGUUUGAAGGUUAUUGGCACCACUGCUUGUCUGGAAGAACAAGCUAUUUCACUCAGGAAAAUUGGACUAUGGAUAUAUGCUGUGACCAAAACCUGUGACCUGCAAUGAAACGAAGAAUAUUCUUGCAGUCUCAAAAGGUGGAUUCUGUUAUUCAGGUUGCUUUGAUUACAAAUCACAUUCCACAUUGAAGGAAUUUUUAUUCCAGUUCUCAGGAAAGCAAGAACUAAUUGAUUCAAGCAAGAGGACUCUACAAUGGAUUACUAAAGAAUCAUCUGUUAGAUGUGUCCUCAGUAAUGCUCCUUGAGAUGGAAUCUGUUUGAACCUACUAAUGUCAACCCUGAAAAAGAAAUGUCCUUCCAACACUACAAUGUUCAGUGUCUGUGUGACCUGUGAGUGUCUCUCAGCUUCCCCUCCUUACAGAUCAAUCUGUCUCAGCGGAAUUAAUGCCAGACACCUCAGCAGGCAGAAGUUCAGCCAUGUUGAGCAAAGCGGUGCUUACCUGGGAAGACAGAUGCCAAAUCCAAAUUCAAAACAUGGCACCACACAAGAAACCAUGGAGAAAAUUAACUGUCCUAACAAAAAUAAGCGGUACACGGUGGAAAAUGAAGGCAAUUUGAACAUUGUUUAUGUUAAGUUCGAUUUGGUAAUAUGACAGAAGUUGCAACAACCUGUAGCACAUUCCUUGAGGAAGGACUGAGGUGGUAGGUCUUCUGUCUGAAAGCACAUUUUACUUCAUAUUGGCGCUGUGUUUUCCAGAGCUUCAUUUGUUCUCCUAUGUUGUGGGGAAACAGGGUCUUAAAUGAGAUAUUUAAUUUUUACCUAACAUCAGCAAACGUUUGAGGUCAAGUCCUCUAAAAGAAAUAAGACUCUAUCUUGAGGUAAAACAUUUUUUCCAGAACUGAUUUUUUCUGUCCCGUAUUUCCACCAUACUUUUGUACUCAAAGUUAUUUUUUUCUAUCUUUGCUAUCUCCUACUAAGCAUAGAAAGACCUGCCUUAUCUCUAGCUUAGUCCACUGUGGGAACAUAAGAUAGUUCAGGUUUUUUUUUUGAAAGUGACAUUAGUUUGAAUAGCCUCGCUUUUAAACACCGAAAGAUAUUUUCUUCAAAUAGCCUUGCAGCAAUAAAGGAACAUCUCUAUCACUAUUGCAUUCUGCUUAAAUUGUUCUUCAAAUAUGGUAUUAAAAUCAUCUCUAGGUUUGACUACUUAAUAUACCAUUUCUAGCCUUCAGUAAUAGCUAGCUGGCUUUCAUCAUGUCAUGCUUUUCUCAUUUUUAGACUGUUUCUCAUAUGGUGUAGUCACUCAGAACACCAAGAGAAAUUAUCAACCUCUUAUUAUAACCUUUGUAACUGUUUUAAUUUUCAUUCUAAUGCAGAAUUAAUUAUUUGAACACAAAUAUCCAAAUAGCUGUCAUUACUUCUAAUUCAUUUAUUUUCAAUAAAUAAAUACAUGGGAGUUGGGGGGGGGGAGAGGAGGAAUUAAUGCCCUUGAGGGUAGUAAUAGUUUUGAAAGUCUCAAGACACUAUAAAGUGAAAAAUGUAAAGCAGAUGCUCAAGCUUUAUACCGUUCAAGUGUAUUCAAAUAUCUCAGUUUUCUUUUUCUAAAAAAUUAUUGUCCAUAUGUUUUUACACAUUUCUUUCUUUUGAAAAACAAAAUGUUUUUGUCAUUGAUCCUUGCGGUUUUCUAUUCUUCAUCUUUGAAAACUGUCAUAGUCACCUUCAAAUAUGGGCUCUGAUGAUAAAGGUCUGUCUGGGAAACAAAUCCUAUUAAUUACAUGACAAAAAUAAUUUAAUUCAAUCUUAAGGAAGAGAGAUGAGGAAGGUAAUUUCAAAGCUCAUUUCAAAGACGUGGUACCAUGUAAAUAAUUAUAUAUCUUCCUCUGGUGACUGAAGACCAUCACUGUGAUCACACUGCUAACUCUAAUUCUGAUGUUGUGUUUCCUCAUGCACGGUUAUGAAAUGUAAUGAAAUGAAAUUGUAAGUAGCUGUUAAUUAGAAU